AUUGAACGCUGGCGGCAGGCCUAACACAUGCAAGUCGAGCGGAAACGACAACAUUGAUUCUUCGGAUGAUUUAUUGGGCGUCGAGCGGCGGACGGGUGAGUAAUGCCUGGGAAAUUGCCCUGAUGUGGGGGAUAACUAUUGGAAACGAUAGCUAAUACCGCAUAAUGCCUUCGGGCCAAAGAGGGGGACCUUCGGGCCUCUCGCGUCAGGAUAUGCCCAGGUGGGAUUAGCUAGUUGGUGAGGUAAUGGCUCACCAAGGCGACGAUCCCUAGCUGGUCUGAGAGGAUGAUCAGCCACACUGGAACUGAGACACGGUCCAGACUCCUACGGGAGGCAGCAGUGGGGAAUAUUGCACAAUGGGCGCAAGCCUGAUGCAGCCAUGCCGCGUGUAUGAAGAAGGCCUUCGGGUUGUAAGUACUUUCAGUCGUGAGGAAGGUUCAUGCGUUAAUAGCGUAUGGAUUUG
rnacentral:rRNA from 1 species